rnacentral:rRNA from 1 species
CUCAGGAUGAAUGCUGGCGGCGUGUCUAAGGCAUGCAAGUCGAACGGAGAGAUUAUUUCCGCAAGGAUAUGAUCUCUUAGUGGCAAACGGGUGAGUAACACAUUGGUAACCUACCCUGAAGUUCGGAAUAACGUUCCGAAAGGAACGCUAAUACCGGAUGUGUUCGCGGAUCAUAUGGUCUGCGAGUAAAGCCCAAAAGGCGCUUCGGGAGGGGCCUAUGUCUUAUCAGCUUGUUGGUGAGGUAAAAGCUCACCAAGGCUAUGACGAGUACCGGGUGUGAGAGCACGACCCGGCUCACUGGGACUGAGACACUGCCCAGACACCUACGGGUGGCUGCAGUCAAGAAUAUUCCACAAUGGGGGAAACCCUGAUGGAGCGACGCCGCGUGCAGGAUGAAGGGCUUCGGCUUGUAAACUGCUUUUCUAAGGGACGAAGCUUCGGCUGACGGUACCUUGGGAAUAAGAGGUUGCUAACUCUGUGCCAGCAGCAGCGGUAAUACAGAGACCUCAAGCAUUAUCCGGAUUUAUUGGGCGUAAAGCGUCCGCAGGCGGCACGUUAAGUCUUCCGUCAAAUCUCUGGGCUCAACCCAGGGGCUGCGGGGGAAACUGGCGAGCUAGAGGUUGGGAGAGGCAAGCGGAAUUACCGGUGUAGUAGUAAAAUGCGUUAAUAUCGGUAAGAACACCAAAGGCGAAGGCAGCUUGCUGGAACACACCUGACGCUAAGGGACGAAAGCACGGGGAGCGAAGCGGAUUAGAUACCCGCGUAGUCCGUGCCCUAAACGAUGAGUGCUGGAUUUUGGGAGUAUCGACCCUCCCAGAGUCGUUCAAAUAAGCUAACGCGUUAAGCACUCCGCCUGGGGAGUACGGGCCGCAGGCUAAAACUCAAAG